GAAAGCAUUGUUACCACAGGAGAUGACAGCUCCAUGUAUGUUAUUGUCCCUGAAGACCUUCCAGUGGGACAAAAUGUGGAGGCAGAAGACACUGAUAUUAUUCUGCAUUCACUGAGGAGGUGAAAGCAAGUGGAAAUAACCUGCUCCUGUAGCAUUCAUUCAGCUAUAAAGAGGAUACCAGAAAGAAAGAAGCAUGAGUCAUAGGAAAAUGAAAGAGGAAUGUCUCAAAUAUUGGGAUGAGAAGACUGCUCUUCCCAUCUAACAGAUUCUCGUUUCCUGCCCUGAAUCAUUUCUUCCCCUUGAAAUAACAACUGUAAUUCUAGUCAUGGGAGUAUGAGUGUUUGUGAGAGUGGGUGGGAGGUCUUCAGAGGUCUCAAUAAAAAAGAAAGAGUAUGAAACUUU